rnacentral:tRNA from 1 species
GGCUAAGUAGCAUAAAGGUAAUGUAAGGAAUUGCAAAUUCUUUGAUAACGAUUCAAUUUCGUUCUUAGCUU